AGGCAUAGUAGACGCGCCAUCGAUGUUGCUC
rnacentral:piRNA from 1 species